CUGAAAUAAUAAUCUAUCUGAUUCACUAUCUUAGAAUGCAACUGAGGGUCUGGAGUAGUAAAAUACAUUGCAGGAGGUGGUAUUGGUGCUGCAACAAAAGGCAUGCCUCUGAGAGUGUCUGGAGGUGGGCCAGCAAAAUAAUAAAAUUCAUGGAAUCCAAUGGGACUGCUAAAGGCCCGCAUUGGGGAUCCAAUAAAUGGGGCAGUAGUAGGUGGUGGCGGUGGAGGUGGUGGAUGCCUAAUAAACCUUUGGACAACUCUAUGUGGCUGCAUAUGGUUAUCUCUGCUGUUGAAGUUUCGAUGAGUGUUCCAGUCUUGAUUUGCACGAUCUUGAUCACGUCUGCCCCCAUAAUUGUGAUGGUGAGAACCAUCUCCACGUGAAUGUGGACCACCAUUGCGCCUGAAUGAAUUGCGCUGCUGUUGUGGGUGAUCAUUAGCACCACGGGAUUGUGAGUUCCUUUGUGAAUGAUCCCUAGGAGAAGGGUUAUUUAAAUGAACUUCCCCUGUUUGGGGCUGUGAUCCUGGUGGUUGAGGGGUGCCACCAUUGGAAGAUGUGUUAGCACCAUUACGCUUCAUUGAUCUCUGGCGUGCUGACAUUGUAUGAUUUGGAGUUGAAUUAGGGCUUGCAUUAUUGCUAACUUGUUUAUGUGAAGAUGAAGAUGCACUUCCAGUUCCCUGUGGAACUGGGACAGACGAUGAACCAUCAGAUAAACCUUUGGAUAAAUCUUGAGACGGCUUCCCUGAAGCCCUAGCUGACUCAGACAAAGCAGGCCAGGAAACCGCUCCCAUCACCGGCCCAACCUCCGUAGCCCCAUUCGACGGCUUAUUCCAGACUGGCCUCUUAGCCGCAUUGCUGUUGGAAACAUUCCCGUUAUCCAAAAUCUCUUCUUCCGCCGUCGUCAUCAAAGAAGAGGAUGAUGAAGCAACCAACACUGGUUGAUCAGUCACAACCAUCGGCUCUCUCGCCGACGGUGAAUGAGUGGCUGCCACAGUGACCGUCUCCGAUUCCCCCCGAACAAUUUGUGUCCACGGCGAGGACACCACUCUUGAACCACCACCACUACCGCGCCGUGAAUGAGGGCGAUUAUGAUUCUCAACGGCAGCCGCAGGGGUGGGAUGCCGAGGUGAGUGAUUAGUCGGCGUUGAUGCUAUCGAGGUACUAAGGGCAUUAGCUGUCGUAGCCAUAGAGAAAAAUUAGGGUUUCUGGUGAAUCUGACAAGCUGCUGUUGAUGAUCAAUGAGAGAGGGGCAAAACCGGAAUAAAAAUGAUCAGGGGAAGAGAGGAACCAAAAAUAGAAGCAGCCAAAUUAGGGUUUUUGAUUUUGAUAAUGUGAGGGUAGUUCCCAAAAAAAAUCGAGGGGUGAUUAUGAUGCGAUCGCCUUCAGAGAGAUCGAGCAACGGCGCUUCUGCCCCUCUCCUCCCCUUUUAUUCUCUCCUUAGCUCUCCCUCUCCCGAUACAAGUUGGUUUGCUUAGCUCUUAGAAUUCUGAGGAUGCUUGGAUUUCAUUAAUUUACGCAAAUACCCCUACAGUGUUUGUUCUCUCCAGGACGAGAAAGUAUGCAGUUUC
rnacentral:misc_RNA from 1 species